rnacentral:rRNA from 1 species
GACGAACGCUGGCGGCGUGCUUAACACAUGCAAGUCGAACGGUGAAGCUCCAGCUUGCUGGAGUGGAUCAGUGGCGAACGGGUGAGUAACACGUGAGCAACCUGCCCCUGACUCUGGAAUAAGCGCUGGAAACGGCGUCUAAUACUGGAUACGAGAAGGGUCCGCAUGGGCACUUUCUGGAAAGUUUUUCGGUUGGGGAUGGGCUCGCGGCCUAUCAGCUUGUUGGUGAGGUAAUGGCUCACCAAGGCGACGACGGGUAGCCGGCCUGAGAGGGCGACCGGCCACACUGGGACUGAGACACGGCCCAGACUCCUACGGGAGGCAGCAGUGGGGAAUAUUGCACAAUGGGCGAAAGCCUGAUGCAGCGACGCCGCGUGAGGGAUGACGGCCUUCGAGUUGUAAACCUCUUUCAGCAGGGAAGAAGCGAAAGUGACGGUACCUGCAGAAGAAGCACCGGCUAACUACGUG